GACAGAGGGUGCAAACGUUGUUCGGAAUUACUGGGCGUAAAGCGUGUGUAGGCGGCUUUGCAAGUCGGAUGUGAAAGCCCCGGGCUCAACCCGGGAAGUGCACUCGAUACUGCGGAGCUUGAGUGUCGGAGAGGUUGGUGGAAUUCUCGGUGUAGAGGUGAAAUUCGUAGAUAUCGAGAGGAACACCGGUGGCGAAGGCGGCCAACUGGACGAACACUGACGCUGAGACACGAAAGCGUGGGGAGCAAGCAGG
rnacentral:rRNA from 1 species